CAUGCACUGGAUGUCGAUGCGUGGGACAACAUUUCUCGGCCACGAUUAUUUCGAUCCUACAACACUCUACUUCCUGGCAAGCCACGCAUUCCCCGGCGACGGCAAUGCCCUCCUCGCCGGUUGCCCCCGGUCGACGCCGAAUCUCCUCAUCCAGCGUCGCCCGGCUGCCCACCCCUGCCAUCCUGCCGAAAUUAGAUCCGGCGGCCGCCGAUCCAGUCGAACAGCCGGGAGCAGGACACAAUGCGCGCGAUUCCUGUCCGUCGUCAGUCCGUGGACGCCGUGGAGAAGGCCAAUUCCAGCCUCCCCAUGGGCUGCGGCGCUUCGCUGCGUAGGGCCACCUCCCCCUUCGACGAGCUCCAACAGUUUGACUGCGGUCCGCGCUGGUCUGUCUCCUCUGCUACGACGGCAUUACGAUUGAAAAUUCCAAAGGAUAAUGGUCCGGUCUCCUCUACGGCGUCGGUGCCAUAGUUCCCUAGCAGUUAGCACCUUCGCUCCAGGCAUUGGUGAGUCACCUUAUUGCUGAGGAUGUAUCUCUGGAAGUUGAAUGUGAUGCAAAGUUUGCAGUACGCAAUGUUACCAGCUGCUGGGACAAUACUCUUCCGGUUAGUGUUGUGAACCCUGCGCCCACAUUCAAUCAGCAGGUGCGAGAUAGUCAGAACGAUAUAUUAUGUUUGAUUUUCGCUGCUUUGUUCUUUUUUGUUUGUACUUGCAGAUCUAUUCUCCUGGUAGCUCUUCUAUUGCUUCUUGGAACUGAUCUUGAUGUUAGUGAUGUAUAGACCCUUUUACUGUAUAUUCCCACUGUAUGAGGGGUUUCCUGCAUAUUAACCAUGUACAUGUAUUGUCCUUUGGCU